UGUAGAGCAUUUAACACAAAAUCCAGAGGUGCCAGCUGAGUAUAGGACUGUAUCAUCUGCAUAGAAAUGGAUGAGAGAGCUUCCUACUGCCUGAGUCAUGUUGUUUAUGUAAAUUGAGAAGAGCGUGGGGCCUCGGAUCAAGCCUUGGUGACAAGCAGUGGCUGAAACAGCAGAUGUUCUGACUUUAUACACUGCACUCUUUGAGAGAGGUAGUUAGAAAACCAGGCCAAAGACCCCUCAGAGACAAUACUCCUUAGUCGGCCCACAAGAACAGAAUGGUGUACCGUAUCAAAAGCUUUGGCCAAGUCAAUAAAAAUAUCAGCACAACAUUGCUUAGAAUCAAGUGCAAUGGUGACAUCAUUGAGGACCUUUAUUAAGGUUGCAGUGACACAUCCAGAACCUGAGCUGAAGCCAGAGUGCAUACCCGAGAAUACUAUAGACAUCCGGAAAGCAAGUCAGUUGAUUAUUGACAAGUUUUUCCAACACUUUUGAUAAACACGGCAAAAUAGAAAUAGGCCUAUAACAGCAUAUCUCGAGGAGGUAGAUUACACAACUCUUACUUUUAGAUUAAUUUAAUCUCUAUAUUAAAAUUUUGGAGCGCCCCGGGCUAAAGUCCUGUAAAUUCAAGCCAGUGGCAUAAAUGUGUGGCAUAUCGCUGUCGUUGAAUCCGUUCCUGUGUUGCUGUUCUGUGUUGCCAUGUUCGCGGUGUUCCAGACAAAUUGGGCCACUUUGAAAAUGAUGUUGCGGGUGAAAAUGUAUUGGUAGUGGGGUUUUGGGCUAUUUCUAAAGUACACUGCGGCCGCCAUUGCAUUUCUCUUAAAAAUAUAUAUCACUAUGACCUGCUGCUGACUGUCAGCCAGUGAGGCAGGCUGUUGCUGAGUGAGUGGUUGGGAGGACUGGAGGAGUGUGUGUGUGUGUUGAGAGAGCACUACGGCAUUGGCUGAGUCAGGUGAGCGUGAGGAGAGCAGCAAGUGGGCACGUUGUGACAACUUUUACCAGUUGUAGCUAGACUAUUUAGAUUGUCAUUAUGGAGACACCGAUUUCCAAACCUUUUUCCAUAAGACAUAUUAAUGCGCUAGAACUGAUGCACAUCGAGAAAUAAUGCAGACAAAGUACUGGAAUAUGACUUUGGGCACACUAGAGAGCAUUCCAUAAAUCCGCUAGGAGGUGGUUUAAACUGCAUUCUAAUGUUGACUGCUUAAAGACAAUGGUACCAAGCGAAGUGCUUUAUGCAUGCUCAGUUCUUGGGUCUCUGGGGCUGCCAGAGUAGAAAUUUGAAAUAGAAGUUAUGGAACUCCCUCACGUGGUUCUUUUUAAUGGGGGAAAAGUCCUCAAUGCAACUGACAUUAGACUAAAUGUGGAGAAUUAUACAUUUGCCUCUGUUGGCCAUGAAGUAGCCUAUUCAUGUAUAUGCCAUUGCAGUCUACCAUUUGAUACAAUACAAUAAUGUUGAAAUGACGAUAUCACUGGAGUCAUUGCAAAUCAAUUCGUGCCACUUGUGUAGCCUACCUGGAGCUGGAAAACUAAUUUAAUAAAUAGCUUAACUUGAGUUUAUUGUUGUUGUAGCCUUGUGUAAUUAGGAGCACGUUAGAUUGGCGGUAACAGUAGUCAGAUUAGGCUGCAGUUAAAACUAAAAAAAUAAACACUGGCUGUUGUUGACAAGCAUAUUCCGUUCAUAAACAUAUUAAUAUUUAAUUCAGUGAUUGAAAUGACAACAUCCUCAGUAACCUAUUCCAGCAGAUUUAUUGCGAAAUCGCCUUGCUAAUCAUGUUGAAUAAAUUAGUCUGUUAAUUUGAACUAAGCAAACUGCUAAAUCGUUCAGUUUACAUCUUGCCAACAUCUUUUCUAGGCUACUGUAGAUUAUAUUAAAUGAGAUGUAGGCCUAUCAGGGGCCAUCCAUCACCUGCCAUUAUCUAAGCAAACUAUGGCAAUUUUAUUAGAAUCAUUAACCCAGAUUUUAAUCUGUAGCCUAUGUCUAUUGAAAUGACAAGUCAAUCUCGCAAAUGGAACAUUUAUAACAAUUUGUAGUCUUAACAUCUGGCACAUAAUAACAGCACAAUUGCCAGAAAACAGCCUGACAUAAGUUUUUUUUAAUGUUCAUCCAAGUGUUUUUUAGAUCCUCUAUCAUCACUCAAACGCUCCUGUCGGAUGUAUCUAUAGUUAUGCACAAAGGGGAUUCAUUUUUAAACCUGGUUCGAGCCCUGAAUGCUGAAAAACGUGGUAUAUCAGAACAUAUACCAGGGGUAUGACAAAACAUUACUUUUUACUGUUCUAAUUACAUUGGUAACCAUUUUAUAAUAGCAAUAAGCCACCCCCGGGGUUUGUGGAAUAUGGCCAAUAUACCAUGGCUAACGUCUGUAUCCAGGCACUCUGCGUUGUGUCAUGCAUAAGAACAGACCUUUUCUAUUUGAUUUUUAUUUAACCUUUAUUUAACUAGGCAAGUCGGUUAACUUUUUUCAUUCAACUUUUUCACCCGGACAUUUUAUCUGGACAUGAUUCUACAGGACCUCCACCAGCCGAAAAAGCUAAGUAGUUACAUUAACACUAAUUGCAGCCAUCUAAUUGCAGUCACUGUACUCAUAAUAUACAAGAGAACUAUUGCCUUAUGGUGAGGAUAGUCGUGUGGCAAGCCCAGCUUCAGAUGCAAUCGUUAGGCAAGGGCAAUUUAAAUAUAGGAAAGUAUGAAACAGCAUCUGUGCCACCAGUAAGUACAGAUAGUAGUAUAAAUCUCUCCACAAAGUCCCCGCAGCCGAACAAUUUUCUCAAGGCUUCUGGAAAGAAAUGUGUCGAUCAUUCAUCCGACAAAAACUUUCAACCGGUUCUCUCCAUUAAAUUAAGGGUGUAUUCGUAAAUUCAAUCUGGAGUGCCAGAGACCGCUCAGAGUGCGCUCUGGACGUUCGUAAAUUCUGAGUUUGCCAGAUUGUCAGUUUCGUAAAUUCAGAGCAUUUCGCUCUCGGAGCUUUCAGAGCGCACACUGGACGCUCUGACCAAGGUGUAGGAUUGAUCCGAGCGUUCUGACCUCACAACGGCAGUCAAGCUCCCAAGCUAACUGGCUAACGUUGGAUAGCUUUCUAGCUACUUCCAGACACAAAUGAGAGAACACCUCACUCUGUUUUACUCACCUUAGCAGAGCUGGUUAGGCUAUCCAGAGUGUUGAUGACUGUAACUGGGCUGCUGGCAACAAUUUAAUUACGCAGUUAGUGCUAACCACAGCUGCUAGAAUCUUGACUAGAACCAACAAAAUUGAUCAUAUUACCCCAGUGCUAGCCUCUCUCUACACUGGCUUCCUGUUAAGGCUAGGGCUGAUUUCAAGGUUUAACUGCUAACCUAUAAACAUACGUACGCAAAGGUCACAAGACGCAAUUCUACUUAUUGUCCCUAGAAUUUAUAGGCAAACAGCUGGAGGCUUUCUCCUAUAGAGCUCAAUUUUGAUGGUAUGGUGUGCCUACCCAUGUGAGACACAGACUCGGUGUCGACCUUUUAAGUCUUUACUAAAGACUCAUCUCUUCAGUAAGUCCUAUGGUUAAAUGUGUGGGUGCGAAGGUGAUCGACAAGGCACUGGUCUCUCUCGCUCUCGCUACUAACCAGUUGUACCCUCUACAACCACUGUGAACAUUGGAACAUCUUGAAUAACAAUCUGGCCUUAAUGGCCAUGUACUCUUAUAAUCUCCACCCGGCACAGCCAGAAGAGGACUGGCCACCCCUCAGAGCCUGGUUCCUCUCUAGGUUUCUCCCUAGGUUCCUGCCUUUCCCAGGGAGUUUUUCCUAGUCACCGUGCUUCUACAUCUGCAUUGCUUGCUGUUUGGGGUUUUAGGCUGACUUUCUGUAUAUCACUUUGUGACAUCUGCUGAUGUAAAAAGGACUUUAUAAAUACAUUUGAUUAAUUUAUCAACACCACCGGUGGAUUAGAUAACUUUAUUAAUUUAGCUAAUUAUGGUUGCUAAUUGGCUGAAAAAAAUGUUUUUACUUCACACAUCACACAUUUUAUGUACAGACCUAUGUGAUUUCACUUCUCAGAAGUUUCUCAGCAAGAUGAGGGUUCACUACAAAAGCUGCAGGAAGUACCUUGAGGAGUACGGCACCCCUCUUGACGCACCACCCACACCAGUCUCACCAACGACUCAGGAAGUCAGCCGUGUAUCUGUGGAUACGAUCCACAUGACUGGGCAAGUAUACAGAAACUGAAUCCACCGAAUCAUAGGUGACUAACCACCUUGAUUUGGUCUUAUGUAGCAACAUUUGAAUUUUUGUUUUUUUUACAUUGGAUAAAAGCAGACACAGCACAAAAAAAUGGUAUAUCACACAUUGCAUUUGAGGAACAAUGGGAAAGUAAUUCUGCUUUGAAAGUUGAUAAACUUGUAACCUCACUUUUGAGAAAAUGGCCUUUGAAUGUUUUGGUACUGUCACGUUCCUGACCUAUUUCUGUUAGUUUGUUGUAUGUGUUAGUUGGUCAGGACGUGAGUUUGGGUGGGCAUUCUAUGUUGUCUGUUUCUAUGUUGGUUUAGGGUUGCCUGGUAUGGCUCUUAAUUAGAAGCAGGUGUUUGGCGUUCCUCUAAUUGAGAGUCAUAUUUAGGUAGGUUGUUUCACAGUGUUCGUUGUGGGUGGUUGUCUCCUGUGUCAGUGUUUGUUGCACCAUACGGGACUGUUCGGUUUGUUUUUUACAUCGUCAUUUUGUGUAGUCUAUUUUCCCUGUUCGUGCGUUCUUCGUGUUUAAUGUAAGUUCGUCGUCCAGGUCUGUCUACUCCGUUUGUUGUUUUGUUAGUUAUAGUGAAGUUCGUGUUUUUUCGUCUUUUCUUUAAAUAAAUUAUGUGUUCACAACCCGCUGCGCCUUGGUUCCAUCACUACUCCUCCUCUUCGGUUGAAGAGGAGGAGGACCACCGUUACAGGUACCUACUGGAGAGCUCUUCUUUGUCUACACCCAUUUAGCAUCGUUCACACCCUCUUAAACAUUAGCCCCACCCAUCUUUUUAAGGUUUGAUCCAACAGCAGUCAAGCACCCAAGCCAACUUGCUAGCUACUUCCAGACACAAAUGAGAGAACAGCUCACUGACCAUUACUUGCCCUAGCAGAGCUGGUUAGGCUGUUUUUAUGUUAUCCAGACCGUUGCUGCUGGCAACAAUUUAUGUAUAUUCAACGGGUGUUGAGCAUUCGUAAAUUUGACUAUUAUCCUGCGUAAAUUUACCAGCUACGUCUAUCAACAGUUGUCGCAGUGACAUUCUAUUGAAGGGUGUGUUCGUAAAUUCAUUCUGGAGUGCCAGAGUGUGCUUUGGGCGUUCAUAAAUUCAGAGCAUCUUCAGAUUGUCUGUUCGUAAAUUCAGAGUGUUUCGCACUCGGAGCGUUCAGAGCACAAAUUGGACGCUCUGGCAGAUGAGUAGGGUUGAUCCAAGCAUUCUGACCUCACAACGGCAGUCAAGCACCAAAGCUAACUGGCAAACAUUGGCUAGCUUCUUCCAGACACAAAUGAGAGAACACCCCACUCGCACCAUUUUACUCACCCUAGCAGAGCUGGUUAGGUUCUUUUUAUGUUAUCCAGAGCGUUGGUGACUGUAACUGUGCUGCUUGCAACAAUUUAAUUACGCUUUUUUCACGACGUUUACUGACAUCGGCCAUAUUCAACGGGUGUUGAGUUCGUAAAAUAAUCAAUUAUUCUGUACACUGGCACACUCAGACGAGAGUUCACCUGAAAUCGGAGUAGCUGGCCAGACUGAAUUUACGAACGCACCCAAAAUGGUUACGUGCAUAGUGAUGUCUUUUGUUAAGACAUGUAGCUAGCUAGCUAGGGAAACAAUUAACCAUAAUCGCAACUCAUGACGCUACUACCCUGCAUGAAUCUGCAGGUAGCUAAUCAACCAGGUUCAAUGUUAGAUAGCUAACAUUAGGCUAUAACUAGCAAAGCAAAUGGCUCUGAGAUCCGAAUAAGAAGAUCAUACACAUAACGUUAACUAGCGAGCCAGCCAGCUAACGUUAACUAGCUAACAGUACAUUUUAACUUGAAAUGAAACCACUUUCCAUCAAAAUUAGAAAAGUGUAAUAUCUGAAAAUGUAGCUAGCUAGACAAUCUUACCCAUGCGUAUCAUGGAUUCAGUGGCGAAAAUCUGAGAUCAACCUUGGAGGGGACAAUUACAUUAAAUUUUCUCAAGAGCAAUUCCUGAGGGGGACACCAAAAGUAGUGCUGUAACACAUAGCAUACGUUGUUAAAUGUAUAUUGAGGAACCAUAAUUCCUACAACUGGAUAAUUGAUAGGUACAGUAGUUAACUGAAGGGUUUUCCCAACUUAUUCAAAUGUUUAAAUCAUUAUAAUUCUACUACUAAUAAUAGUUAUAGCAGUGCUCCUUACCAGUCCAGUAUGUAUGCAGGUAUUCGUACUUACAACCAGCAAUAUCAAGAAAGGUCAGUAGGUGACAAUGGUACUGUACACUGUAUGGGUGUAGUUUUCAUAAAUACAAUGAACAUGGUGUGAUCACAUCUAAAAGAAUCUCCAUUGAGAACCAUCACAAAGUUGGUCUCCGUAUUGAAUUGACCUUUUAAUUUGACUUUUUCUGAUACAUUUAUAUAGUCAUUAAAUAUGUCCACCUGGCCUGAGUCUAUUACAAUAUCUUUGCAAGAACAAAAAGCUUAAAAUAAGUACAGUUCUAAAAGCAAAAUAACUACUUCAAUGAAAAACCCAAAUAAAUCAACCAAAAUAUCCUUCAGUCAGUGUCUCAACUUUUCAAACAGCAGCUAUGGACAAGUAUGUCGCACAAAGUAUGCAAUUUUAACUUCUUGAGAAUACAGGGGGUGCUGUUUCGCAUUAGCAUAAUUGCCUCUACAGAUUAAACUGCCUCUUAUUCAAUUAUUGCUGUUACUAUAUGCAUAUAACCAUAUACCAUUGGAUAGAAAACAAGCUAUGGUUUCUAAAACCGUUCCAAUUUCGUCUCUGAGUGAAACACAGGUCAUUUCACAGCACUUUCCCUGAGCCAGAAGAAGAUUGCAAGAUGUGUAUGCUCGCUUCAACGCUCUGCCUAUAUAUGGUCAUGCCACCUAUGACCCGAAACAGACUUCGUUCUUCUUCCUCUAGGUGUCAGGAAGUUGUCAGAGGAGAAAUUUUUUGUUUAUCUUGUACUGACGUGAAAUAAGACCUAUUUCUUUAGCGUGACCGACAACUUCCGGUUUUCUCAGAAGCGCGUCUUAGAGCUGCCAUUGUCUUUUGUUAUGCUGACGUUACGGAUGAAAACUAUCUCCGUCUCGAAGUUUGUUUGAUACAUGUGACCAUAUCACCGUAAUGUAUGUUUUUUCAAUAUAGUUUAAUCAGAUUAUUAGAAUUUUUUCGGGAGUUUUGCCGUGUUCCGUUCUUUGAGUUUUUUAACUUUGGACAGGGACCGUGCCAGUCGACCAGUACCCAGGCUAAAUGAAGAGGGGAAGUUGCCAUUGUGAAUGGAUUGAACGACUCAUCAGGACUAAGGACACCUUGAUCAACAUUCUGAUGAAAGAUCAGCAAUAGAUUCUACCAGGACAGCCCACACAAACACAGAUAUCUGAAUUGGUUAGGCCCAGAGUGUUGACGUUGGGGUUCCUGGGAGGAAGGGUGUACUCCUGCCCAUACUGCCCCCUGCAGGGGCUCACAGACAUGAGACUGGUCCAGCACUGUGUUGGCAGCCACACAGGAGAGAAUGCUCCAGCUGUGUGUCCCAUCUGUGCUGCCACUGUUUGGGGUGAUGCUAGUUACUGCAGCCGAAACCUCAUCGGUCACCUGGCUAUCAGGCAUUGUUUCAGCUAUGACACCUACAUGAAUGUAGGGGAGGACGACUACACCCAACUCUGCCUUGCCAUUCAGCUGUCACUGCAACAAGGCACCGGCAUCACAGAGUGACAACAAGGCCCUAAGAGAGCUACACUUUAUGUUCCAACACAAUACAUACCUCUUCAACCGCUCCUUGCCACGUCAAUGAUGUUACUUAUUGUAUCGUAUGGAAAGCAAUUGCAUAUCCCUUUUGCUUUGAGUUAUUAUUCUGUAUUUCAUUUUCAUUCCACUUUCACACAAUGUGUCCAUUACAGUAGGUCUAGUCCUUGGUGGGUUCUUCAAGUUAACUCCAUUGAAGUGAAAUCACAUUCCCAGCAACAUGUUUUAUGAAAAUAAUGGGUGUGUUUUGAAAAGAUACUGAGAAUUCAAGGCAAUUUGAAAGUAAAUUGAAGAUGAGCAGUGUGUAGUAGACUAUGAUGCAUUUUCUCACCAUAGCUCUUAAAAAUUCCAGGUUGGUUAGGAAUUAUACAAUAGAGUGUGUGAUUAUGUACAGUUAGUCAGGUAGAUUUAUGUAAAGGUUCUACUCAUGAAAUGAUGUUCACAGACAAGUUUUGCUGUGGGGCAUCCAAUGCUCAUAGAACAUGGAUCUGUACUGAGUAGACAAAACAUUAGGAACACCUCUAUCCAUGACCUAGACUGACCAGGUGAAAGCUAUGAUCCCUUAUUUCACCUGUUAUAUCCACUUCAAUCAGUGUAGAUGAUUUGAUUUGAUUAGGAUCUCUUGUAGUCAUAAUUUGGACUAAUCUUCCAAGAGUCCUUAAACAUUAAAAUACAAUUUAUAAUAUGAUCACAUUUUCACAUAUAACACACUGUUACAAACAGACAUAAUACACUGACAUAUUGACCAGAUAAAUACUCUAAUAGAAUGAUUCCUUCAUCUACCAUAGUCCUACACAACCUUACGGUUUAUUGUAUUUAAAUGGUUCUAAAGUAUUGAGGAAGGGAAGCUCUACUAAGGUACACUAUAGUAUAUUUUGGUAGAUAGAAGGUGCUCUUUGGUAAAAGGUGUAAAUAGGUCAUCAAAAAGAAAGGAGGACCAAGGCACUCUUCAUAUAAUUAAUUAAAAUGCCUUUAUUAGUAUGGCAUGUUCAAUAGAAACAACGUUUUAAAAAUCCGAUGUGUUUCGGCUGCAUGGCCUUCGUCAGGGGGUACAAAGAAACAAUACAAUGGCCUCUUUUGAACAGCUUUUCCAAUUAGGCCUAAUUUUAAGAGGAAGUGGUUACACAAUUGAUUGGACACACCUAGUAAGCAAUACUAUACACAUUAAAAAGUGAAAUACUGUAGCUAUGUUAUCAAAAAAUUCAACUCCAAGCUAGAAGUAUCAGAGUGCCUAGAAAGGUAGUUCUAACCUUAAAUAUGACUGGGAGAAGUGUCAAGAGUAAGAGAGCAAUAUAUUCCAUAGUACACUAGAACACAGCAAAACAUGAACAACAACAGUCUAAACAUAGCUGAGGGCAAUUGAGCAAAAUGUCCACUAGAUGACAGCAAAUGGACCCAUCACGACCCUACAGGAAGGGUGAGAAAUCCAUAUCUUCAUUUAAACCAGGGUACUUAGUGGCCUGUAGUUUGUAAAUCUAUAUCUUCAUUUAAACCAGGGUACUUAGUGGCCUCUAGUUUGUAAAUCCCAAAACUUUCCCUUUGGUUUAACUGUUUUCUAAUAGAGGCCGGAACAUGAUCAAUACCAAUAGCUUGUAGGGAGGCAGGGGUGCCAUGGUGUAAGGACUUGUAGUGCCUUGCCAUGGUGUAGUCUUCAUUGCGUACUUGUGUUCCGCUAAGCGUUCUUGAAGGCGUCUCUUUGUCUGUCCAAUGUAGAACACCUUGCACUGUGGAUAUUCCAAUCUAUUGAUGACAUGCGUGGUUUUGCAGUUAAUGAAAUGCUUGACGUAAUACUCCAUUUUGGAAGCUGUGUCAACAAAAUACUUUUUCUGUGCAAUAUUUCUGCAAUGGUUGCACUGGUUACAUUUAAAAGAGCCCUUGGGUUUGUGGUCAAGCCAAGUUUUUUGAGAGUCACCAGGAGGAUAACUGUGGACUAAUUUGUCAUUUAGGGUAGGACAUCUCUUAAAGCUUAUGACUGGUGGCUCAGGGAAGACUUGGCAUAGUAGCGUAUUACUUUUGGAUGAUUCCCCAAUUAUUUUUAAUGAUUCUUAUAAUGUUCUCUGCUUCAGUGCUGUAUUUUGUAACAAAAUACACUCUCUCUGAUGUAUCACAAGGCACUCCCCUUUGCAACAAGUUCUCUCUGUCAGGUAUUCUAACCCUUAUACCUGCAUCUUUCAGGACCUAAACAUGCCAUACAAAUAAAGGCAUUUGAAUUAAUUAUAUGAAGAGUGCCUUGGUCCUCCUUUCUUUUUGGGUUCUAAAGUAUUGUUUGAAUUUAUAUAUUGAACGUUUUUUGGUUUGCUCAGACAAAUUAUUCAAUUCAUUAUUGCUCUGAAUCGAAAUGUUAUUCUACCAAUUUAUCUUUUCUGCCGGGAUAACACAUAGAUGGACAAUCUAUUCUUAGUAUUGACUGAAUGUCUUUCUCUUACCAACUGAAUGGAGUUUGGCCGUUUCAAAAGAUGUACAUUGUGAAAUAAAAUAAGCAUGUUUUUUUCCAAUUAUCUUAUUGAUUAAUGACCAAGCAAAAGCACUGUGCAUGACAACAGAAUAAUCAUAUCUCCAACUUAAAACAAUCCUUGCUGCUUUGUUCUGUUCAAUCUGCAGCCUCCUAAUUUCACUUGCUGAUACAUUUCCAGAGACCAUAGAACAGUAAUUCACCUGACUCCCAAUUAAUGCUUGGGUUGUAUGCUUAAGAAUCUUUCCCAGUAAAUAUUUAGGUAUCCUUCUGAUCAUGCAAGUAAUGCAGGUAAUGCAGGUAAUUUAAAAAAAACAAAGAUUAGUUAUUUGAGACGACCAUGAUAAGCAGUUGUCUAGCUGCACCCCUAGUAGUUUGGUUUUUGACACUUCCUCAAUUUGUUCUCCCCCCAUACUUAAUUGCAUCCCAUGCUGUGUCGGCCUUCUCCUGGUGGAACAAACCAACAUAACCUUGGUUUUCUUGGUGUUGCAAAAGAAGUUUGUUCUGUAAAACCCACUCCCUAAAAUGUCCAAAAUCUACUUGUAGAGCUUGCUGUACCCUUUGAACCGAUUGUCUUGCUGUAUAAAUUUUAGUAUCAAAUAUAGUAGCUUGAGUUUCAGAUAAGGCAUAAGGAAGGUUGUUGGUAUUUAUUAAGUAAAGAAGUGGCCCAAGGAAGCUGCCCUGCGGUAUUCCACAGCUUAAAGCAUGAGGAGAAGAAAACGACCCAUUGAUAUAGGUGGACUGUUUCCUGUCAGUUAGAUAUGACUGUACCCAAUUCAAUACUGCAACAAUUUUGUACAAAUUAUUUCAUGAUCCACUAAAUCAAAUGCUGUACUAACAUCCCCAAAAUAGUACACCCACAAACCUGCCAUUAUUCAUAGCAUUGAGCCACUGGUCAGUCAUGUCAACAAUGCAGUGGUAGUGGAAUGGUUUUGCGAUAAGCAAGCUGAUUGGUUGUGAUCAGAUCAUUCUUUUCCAUAUACUCCCAUAUUUGGGGCGGCAGGUAGCCUAGUGGUUAGUGUUGGGCCAGUAACCGAAAGGUUGCUAGAUCAAAUCCCUGAGCUGAUAAGGUAAAAAUCUGUCGUUCUGCCCCUGAACGUUCUGCCCCACAGUUCCUAGGCUGUCAUUGUAAAUAAGAAUUUGUUCUUAACUGUCUUGCCUAGUUAAAUGAAGGUUAAAUAAAUAAAAUAUUUGUCUACUCAGAAUAACCUCCAAUAUCUUACUGAGUGAAGGGAGUAGACUAAUUGGUUGACUAUUGGCAGGAGUAAUGGGUUCUUUGCUGUUGGGAUUGGACACAGUUUAGCAUGCUUCCAUACAUUUGGAAAUGUCCCCCUUUCCAGUGACCAAUUAAAUAUGUAUUUCAGUGGAGCUGCAAUCUGGGGAGCAGCAUAGUGAAGUAAAAAUUGAAGGGGUGGAGAAAAGUUAAAGAUGGAAUUUUAAGCCUUGUGAACUUUUGAGACAUGGAUUGUGUAUGUGUGCAAUUGCGGGUGAAUGGGCAAGACAAUAUAAUUAAGUGCCUUUGAACGGGGUAUGGUAGUAGGUGCCAUGCGCACCGGUUUGAGUGUGUCAGGGAACUGCAACGCUGCUGUUUCCCCCCCCCCACACGUAACAGUUUCCUGUGUGUAUCAAGAAUGGUCCAACACCCAAAGGACAUCCAGCCAACUUGACACAACUGUGGGAAGCAUUGGAGUCAACAUGGGCCAGCAUCCCUGUGGAAUGCUUUCGACAUUUGUAGAGUCCAUGCCCGACAAAUCGAGGCUGUUCUGAGGGCAAAAGAGGGUGCAACAUAAAAUUAGGAAGGUGUUCCUAAUAUUUUGUAUACUCAGUGUAUAUAAUAUAGAGGCUAUUGCAGCACUUAGCAACCAAACAGACUGUUAUCACAAACACUUUCUCUCCCUUGAGGUUCCCAAUAACUGCCAGUGUGAUAUGCUUGUUAGCAACUGUCCUGCCAUACUUGUUGCUUUAUUUAUGUAUGUCUGGUAUGUGUUAGACAAAUCAUAUAGCUAAAUUGGCAAACUAUUACUAAUGCUGUCAAUCUGGUGGUAAAGGUUAUAAAGUAUAGAAAUAUACAUUUUCAUAUCGUCUUGUCACAGUCAGUAUGAGUAUAAGUAUUGAUAAUUGCAAUGUAGGUUGUCAAGAUAGUCAAACGCCCUUUUCACUGUUCAUAACGAUCUGACACUUUUUAAUGACUAGACAUGAUUAAACACAACUAAAUGUUUCCCUGUUUUAGCUCUCAUAAAACGCAUAACGGUUUGAGCUUUGUGAACAAUAAUGGUGCAGUGUGAUUUCAAAUGUGA